UUAUAAACUGGGACUAAAAACCAUUUUUAGUCUCGGUUUUUAUUGUAUCCGAGACUAUUGUGCUUUUUGUCGAUCGGGCAAAAAUGGUUUCUCCAUUAGUGGCAGCCGCCGAAUCGAUGGGAGCCGCCGGCCGCUCCACCUGCAUCGUCGCCGGGAGCUGUCGACCGACCUCCUCCAUGGGCUGCGCAGCCGCCGAAUCGACAGGAGCCGCCGACCGCUCCACCUGCAUCGUCAUCGGGAGCCGUCGACUGACCUCCGUCGGCUGCUAACUUGUCAUAUUUGUUCUUCAGAUAGCUUAAUAUGGAGAAGACUCCGCCCUCCGCGCCUCACUAUAAUGAACUGCUCAACAUAAUGUCUCUAAGAACGUUGGCAGCAGCGAUCCGCCAUGCGUGACCUCGCCAAUCAGAGACCUCUUGUGCCCAUAUCCUGUUGUUUCCAUUCGACGUCCUCAGUAUCUCCUCAUCUGAAUUUAAGAGACACAGUUGGAGGCUUGAAGCUGCUAGAAAACCAGCGUACAUCCUUGAGCUGCCUAACAAGACAGGGCUAAUCCUGGUGAUAAUAAGUGUUGGCGGUAUGGCAUGAGGCCCUUCGACCAAGAUCUACCGAAAGCUAUGCGAAGAGUGGGGAUUCAAGCCCGAGACGUCAAAGUUAGUCGGGGCGAAGUCCCCCCAUAGCGAAAACUAUGGAACAAGGACGGCGAGAGGCGAGGGAUCGCGCGGGUACUCUGCCAAGCCAGAGGCCUCUUGGGCGAAGGAUGCAAGGCGAAGAGUAUAUGCCGAAGGGAGACGACUUCGCUAAAGCAAGCUCGCCCCCGCGAGGGCCGAAGAAGCCUUUUCCGACCCAUCAAGCCUAGGGGCUAUUGGGCAGACGAUCGCCCGACGGCCCAUCAGGGGUCCAUGAACCUCAAUUACACUAUGUACCCAUGUAAAUGUCCAUUUCAUAAGGGUAACCAUGUAAAUUCCCCUGUAUAACCAAAACCAGAGUAGUAAGAACCUGUAAUAG